rnacentral:lncRNA from 1 species
GAGUUUGCUGUUGAUGUUGUCUUCUCCUGGGGGUUUUUCACACUUCAUCUUCUUAACUGUUUUCUUGAUUUUUUGUGGUAGUAUAUCUUCUGCAUUUUCUAGUCUUAGUCUUGCUUCCUCACUUGGUCUAUAUAGUUCCUCAUGGAAGGUUGCUACCUUUUCUGCUAUACCAUCUCAGCUAGUGAUAAGUUCUCCAUUAUCAUCGUUGAUCACAUUUAGUUGGUGCUUGCCAGUCAUUAUGUCUCUCCAUGCUGAUUAGAAGGCUAUUGCUGUUCUCAAUGGCCAUUUGAAUCCUUUCUAUGUUGAAUGUUUGGAUAUCUUCUCUGAUUCCCU